CAAAGUGAAACGCAAUUAAUGUAAUAAAGACCAGCAGCCAGCACAUGCAUGGAGCCAGUCGGAGCAGCAGGGAUGGCUCCCCACGUUGCCCAAGCUCCAGGUGUUCCCUGCCUGUGCACAACAAGCAGCAGCUCUCCUCCCGUCUCCACUCCCUGGCAUUCCUGCGGAGCCGCAGUGCCAGCGCACAUCUCGGAGCUGCCUGGGAAUCUCCCAUCUCCUUUCAGCCUCUUUCACAACUCCACCACCAAGGAGGAGGGCCAAAUCCUGCCCGGCUGCUGGAGAAGCACGCUGUGGUUCUGCCAGGGAGAUCUUCUUUGUCAGUACCUACUCCUGAUGAUAGCUGUGUAGCCAUUGCACAGCAGAAACUCUUCAGCACAAGCAAUGAACCACAUGGAUCUACCAGGGUAUACGCAGAGGAAGGAAUGAAAUUGAAAGCAAGGACAAAAGGAUCAGGAAACAUAAUAAAAAGCAACAACAAAAGAAGAAGAUUUAGGUGUCCCAGUUACUAAACAUAAGGAGAGUUGAGC
ensembl:lncRNA